AUUGAGCGCUGGCGGCAGGCCUAACACAUGCAAGUCGAGCGGUAGAGAGGAGCUUGCUCCUCUUGAGAGCGGCGGACGGGUGAGUAAUGCCUAGGAAUCUGCCUGGUAGUGGGGGAUAACGUUCGGAAACGGACGCUAAUACCGCAUACGUCCUACGGGAGAAAGCAGGGGACCUUCGGGCCUUGCGCUAUCAGAUGAGCCUAGGUCGGAUUAGCUAGUUGGUGAGGUAAUGGCUCACCAAGGCGACGAUCCGUAACUGGUCUGAGAGGAUGAUCAGUCACACUGGAACUGAGACACGGUCCAGACUCCUACGGGAGGCAGCAGUGGGGAAUAUUGGACAAUGGGCGAAAGCCUGAUCCAGCCAUGCCGCGUGUGUGAAGAAGGUCUUCGGAUUGUAAAGCACUUUAAGUUGGGAGGAAGGGCAGUAAAUUAAUACUUUGCUGUUUUGACGUUACCGACAGAAUAAGCACCGGCUAACUCUGUGCCAGCAGCCGCGGUAAUACAGAGGGUGCAAGCGUUAAUCGGAAUUACUGGGCGUAAAGCGCGCGUAGGUGGUUUGUUAAGUUGGAUGUGAAAUCCCCGGGCUCAACCUGGGAACUGCAUUCAAAACUGACUGACUAGAGUAUGGUAGAGGGUGGUGGAAUUUCCUGUGUAGCGGUGAAAUGCGUAGAUAUAGGAAGGAACACCAGUGGCGAAGGCGACCACCUGGACUAAUACUGACACUGAGGUGCGAAAGCGUGGGGAGCGAACAGGAUUAGAUACCCUGGUAGUCCACGCCGUAAACGAUGUCAACUAGCCGUUGGAAGCCUUGAGCUUUUAGUGGCGCAGCUAACGCAUUAAGUUGACCGCCUGGGGAGUACGGCCGCAAGGUUAAAACUCAAAUGAAUUGACGGGGGCCCGCACAAGCGGUGGAGCAUGUGGUUUAAUUCGAAGCAACGCGAAGAACCUUACCAGGCCUUGACAUCCAAUGAACUUUCUAGAGAUAGAUUGGUGCCUUCGGGAGCAUUGAGACAGGUGCUGCAUGGCUGUCGUCAGCUCGUGUCGUGAGAUGUUGGGUUAAGUCCCGUAACGAGCGCAACCCUUGUCCUUAGUUACCAGCACGUGAUGGUGGGCACUCUAAGGAGACUGCCGGUGACAAACCGGAGGAAGGUGGGGAUGACGUCAAGUCAUCAUGGCCCUUACGGCCUGGGCUACACACGUGCUACAAUGGUCGGUACAGAGGGUUGCCAAGCCGCGAGGUGGAGCUAAUCCCACAAAACCGAUCGUAGUCCGGAUCGCAGUCUGCAACUCGACUGCGUGAAGUCGGAAUCGCUAGUAAUCGCGAAUCAGAAUGUCGCGGUGAAUACGUUCCCGGGCCU
rnacentral:rRNA from 1 species